CAAAAACAUGUCCUUUUGUUUUAUUUAUUUAAGGUCUGACCUGCCCAAUGAGGAAUUGAAUGGCCGCAGUAUUCUAACUGUGCUAAGGUAGCAUAAUCAUUUGUCUUUUAAUUGAGGGCUGGAAUGAAGGGUUGGACGAAAUAUUAACUUUCUUUAGUUUAAUUUUAUGAAUUUAAUUUUUGAGUCAAAAAGCUUAAAUUAACUUAUAGGACGAGAAGACCCUAUAGAUCUUUAUAAUUUUAUAUUUUAGUAAUUUAGGGAUUGUUUUACUUGAAGUAGAAGAAUUAUUUUGUUGGGGUGACUGUAGAAUUUAAUAAACUUCUAUUUAUUUAUUUCAUUGAUUAGUGUUUCUUUGAUCCAUAUAUUAUGAUUAUAAGAUUAAGUUACCUUAGGGAUAACAGCGUAAUUUCUUCGGAGAGUUCAUAUUGAUGAAGGAGUUUGCGACCUCGAUGUUGGAUUAAAAUAAGUCAUAGAUGCAGGAGUCUAUUUACUAGGUCUGUUCGACCUUUAAUUUUUUACAUGAUCUGAG
rnacentral:rRNA from 1 species